rnacentral:lncRNA from 1 species
GCCUGGGCGCUCGUCAAUGCACCGAAGACAACCUAUUCUGCUUUCUUAGAGACGGAGCUGAGAAAUGAGCUGCCCAAGGAAUUUGGCGAUGAGAGUGAAAGGCAGUUUGGCGCCAGCAGCCAAGUUGUAGAAUUGCUUUGGAGGAGGCUGCCCGGGGUGCACAAGAGAAUUGACAAGAACAGACACCGUUGCAGACCAAAGGCAUGCCUGAUUGCACUUGAGUCAGAUCGCUGGGACGCAGCCUCUGCUCUAACUAUUUGUGGCCGAAUAAAGGAAAGGAGACUAGAAACAGGACUGCCAGUGGUAUUCCUAAAAGGAAAACAAGGACACUCCAGAAGGAGGGGGAAAACAGCCCAGCUGGUGUGUGCAUUUUUUUUUUUUUUUUUAAAGGAGAAUCCCUCAGUUACGCCAGCACUUAGACUUGCCACAGAUCAAGUUACCAAUUGCUUCUGUUGUGUUCACUUAUUCCCAGAUGCUCUUUGAG